UGGCUCAGUGGUAAAGAGUCUGCCUGCAAUGCAGGAGACCCAGGUUCGACCCCUGG
rnacentral:tRNA from 1 species